AUUGGUAUGAUGACAUAUAUCAUUCGGAUUCCCACUGAAUUUAAUAUUGAUUAUAAAAGAUGAUUCUGACUGUU